rnacentral:rRNA from 1 species
UGGGGAAUAUUGGACAAUGGGCGAAAGCCUGAUCCAGCAAUGCCGCGUGAGUGAUGAAGGCCUUAGGGUUGUAAAGCUCUUUUACCCGAGAUGAUAAUGACAGUAUCGGGAGAAUAAGCUCCGGCUAACUCCGUGCCAGCAGCCGCGGUAAUACGGAGGGAGCUAGCGUUGUUCGGAAUUACUGGGCGUAAAGCGCACGUAGGCGGCUUUUUAAGUCAGAGGUGAAAUCCCGGGGCUCAACCCCGGAACUGCCUUUGAAACUGGGAAGCUAGAAUCUUGGAGAGGCGAGUGGAAUUCCGAGUGUAGAGGUGAAAUUCGUAGAUAUUCGGAAGAACACCAGUGGCGAAGGCGACUCGCUGGACAAGUAUUGACGCUGAGGUGCGAAAGCGUGGGGAGCAAACAGG